AGUAAUUGAACCCAAUAACAGUCGCGUGAAGGACGCCUUCUCAUGCUACACACGUCAUCACCGUUUUACUGUGCAGCGUUGAGAAAGCUAGAAAAAACAGCCUCUCUGAUAGAGCGAUCACAGCGAUUGGAUAGAAGGGUUUCGUUCUGGUCGUUCCUAUUGGGUCAAACUGGUCCAGAUAACACCUACCCCAGGACCGUCCUCCCUUUCCCUUCUGAACGAAGCAAACUGCAAACCUAACCGGCCGGCACGAGCGUCGCCAGCAGGAGAGGAACUGGCUCCGCUCUCUCACGCAGUUACACGCACGUGGUCGUCUCGAGGGAGGAGUGGGUGGGAGGAGAAGGCGGCGGCGGCAGUUUCGAUCUGUGCUCUGCCUUACGCGGGAGGCAGCGGAUCGAUCUGGACGAACUGGCUGCCGGAAGGAUGGGAGGAAGAAACCAUCGUUGGCCGGCUGGGGGUCAGCAGGUCCGGAUCCGCGCAUUGUCUCCUUAUGCGCCAGUGCGAAGCAAGGCGCCCAUCGCCCGUCGCCCAUGCCAAUCCUCCUCGGCUCGUUAUCGUCUCUGUUAGGCAGACAGGGCAAACCAUUGCUAUUAGGAAGGUUCUUCAGGAUAAGCAGUACAAGAACCGCGAGCUUCGGACCAAACACCUACAUGACCACCCAAAUGUCGUAGCUCUGAAGCAUUGUUUCUUUUCUACAACUGAGAAGGAUGAAAUUUUGCUGAACUUGGUUCUCGAGUAUGUAUAUCGCAUUACCGCACUACCUCCUUAGUGGUUUGGUAGCGGGACAGAAUAGGGUGGUGGAGGUGAGGCAGCAGAGAGUGGGCGCUGGCCAUGCUCGCGAGGCCAUCCGUGAUGCAUCGAAUAUGUUAGCAGGUUUGCACUGCGCUCAUGAUCAUCAUAUGUUUGUUAAAAUGCAUUUCCUUCUCAGUUUUAUGUUUAAUCUUUUGAGUUGUAGUUACUAUAUAAAUUUAUAAACUGAGAUGUGGAGAUUGCAAUAUUGAUCUAAGUUCAGUUCAGUCUAUUACGUGACCUGAGUUUGUUAUCCAUGAUUUCCCUCAUUUCUUUGUUAUCGCACAUGUUCAUUAAUUGAUUAUAGUCUACUUCAGGUUUUUUUGUGCAUUUAGUUCUAGGUUGUUUUGAUCUGAGAAAGUGGCUCCCAGCUUUUCAUUGAUUUUGUAGAAUCAUUCAUUAUCUCGAGCCAUACCUGAUACUGAAUCUGAACGUUUCCAUCUCUGGUACCAUGGCACGACAUUGUGGUCGUAUCUUGCGGAAGAAGAGGACGACAAUGGCUUACAGAUGAAGAUGACAGUGGCAACUUGCAGUGUAACAGGCUCACAAUGCCGCCAUGGAUACUCUCCCGCACUAGCUAUUCAGGUAUAUUUAUUUUCUCCAUCUGAACUUCUAUAAAAUUAUGGGCUGCAGCUGCAUACGACAGAAAUUAUUGCGAAGGAGAAAAUGCUUGCAUGAUAGAUAAUGUAACUUCUAUUGUUGGAACUUAACUGUGAUAGUGUAUUAUUAAGAGAAAUAAGUUAGUACUAUAUUAUUAAAAGAAUGUUCAGGUUAGGAAGUACAUAUUUGUCUAUUCAUACGGCAACAAGCAUAAUCUCAUAUUGUUUUAUAUCCUGGAUUCUGACCAACUGAUCACACUGGCCUGAUUACAACUAUUGGGUGGUCAAACUGAAUUGGUAGAGCUGUAGCACAGAGGACGCGGGGUAUAUUUCUGUCUAAUGCAGCUGGAAGGUGAGUGUAUAAACUUCAGUGAUUGUGCAUAACAAAAGCCAUUGGGAGGGGAAGAACAUAUUGAGUUGUACUCAAAUAUUUCUGAAAACUCAAGAUCCAUAUGCUUUUAGACUUCCAGGCAUGCAUAAAAAUACACACUUGAUUAAUUUAGUGUGAAGAGAUCACUGUCCAUGUGUUACUUAGAUUAGCUUUGCUGCUUUGAGGCAAUAGAGUUUUGAGGCCCACUGGUUCAUUAAAGAGGUAUUUUUCUUCUUCUUCUUCUUAUGCUCUCAUUGUUCUUCUCUUUUGUGCUUUAACAUUGUUCUUGUGUUUCCGCUUAAUCUAAGGUUGUCAACAAUCAGCUGUUUGCUAUUUGUAGGAUUUUAUUGUAAACUUGGAAAUCCAUUGGCAAAUAGCGCUAUUUGGGAUACUGGUUGUAUUGUCCCCCCCCCCCCCCGUUGGUCUGGACAUGCCUUUGGAUUCUUCCAAGUAGAAAGAUGAUUUUGUUUUUUCUAUCUUAGUAAUAAAAAUGAAAGGUUAAUACCAUUAUGUUCUCUGAAUAUUGCUAUGGCUGAUAUGCUACUUGAUUAAAUAAUUGUGGUUUUCUUAAACUAGCAAUAUUUCUAAUUUUCUCUUUUUGGGAGGAUAACAGUAAUUUAUGUGGUGUUAACAUCUGUAAUUUGGUGAGGACUUUCCAUUCAUUGGAUAUUAAGAUGUCCAGUUGUUGA